ACUGGAUAUAGAAUGCCACUUCGUGAAUGAUUUUAAAAGUAAGGAGUUUAUGCUUGUCUGCAAGUGAAAUUUCAAUAAUUUAUCGAAAAAUUAGGAAGUGCAAAGCUUCUUUUGAUGAUUAGAAUAAGGAAAAUAAGAAUAUGCAAACGCCUGAUGCAUUAUUUUGUUCAAACUAAUUUUUGUCAGAAUAUUUCAUUUACCUGCAUCAGAACUUGUACAUCACACUCUCUAUCAUUCUAAUGCUUGGGUAAUGGCUUAUCAAUCUUUGAACUUCGUUGUCUACUGGUGUUGAUCCGAGAAAAAAAAAAAAAGACUAGUUACUUGCAAACUUCCAGAGGUCCUAAACCAAAAUGCUCCAAGCAGUAACAGAAGCACCUUAAUAAUUCCUUACCAGAUCCGGGGAUAUGUCUCGACAUCCAUACUGAAAAAGCAAAACAUACGUGCCAAAACUUUUAGAUCUCCGAUUCAGCUUCAAAGCAAGUAGUUAAUGCAUAACAUGGAGGUUUACAUUAAUAUCCUGAAAGGUCAUCUAACUUGUUUUGCCAAUAAUUGACGAGUUUUAUUGACUUGGAUAUUGAUAUCGACUAUAGAUAUGGACUCUAACUGGCUUUCCCCUUUUAUCACAUCGAAUCAUGGGUAGCAUCUAGAUCAAGGAAAAUGUUUUUUCAACUUUGUAUAUUGCCAUAUAUCAUAGUUAGAAUAUCAUAUCUCUCUUUAGUUGAGUGUCUAACGAGUAGGUGCAUUUUGGUUGGAUCAAGAUAAAGCAUUUGAAAUAAUCUGAUGGUUUCAGGUUUAUGAAUCUCUUGAGCAUCGAUUAGCUGUUCCUGAGGCUGCUCAAGGAUUGAGACUUCCUCUUCUUUCUAAAGAUGGGGAAAUUCAUGAGGAAGAGACUGAAAAAUCUAGCAUGACAUCAAGGAGCUCUCUCAACUGUACAACUACCAUUAUCACACCAAGCUCAAGUUCGAAUUUAACCAGUUUCAAUAAUAGUUAUGCAGCUAGCAGUGUCAGUAUGCUGGGUGUUGCUGCUCCACCUAAUAGUGAUAUGGUUGAACCUGGAGUUGGUGGAGUGCCACAUCAUUUUCUUGGAGUACCAGCAGCUUAUCUAUGGCAAAUCCAACAAGAGCAACCUGCCAUGGCUGUGCAGACUCCUCUUCCAUUAGUCAGAUAACAAGUGCUCGUCUUCCAGAAAGGUUACACAUUUACGGGAGUAGCAAGGUGUUGAUCCACAUUUUGAUACGAUCGCAGGACAGUAUCAUCAUAUUGUGAAGGAAAUGGAAGGCAUGCAAUGGACAAUUCACCAAGUUCAAAUGGACUUAAAGCACUCACAUGAGGACCCAAACUCUUGAAGGGUAAGAUCCGGUACUAUUCUUGCCUUGUAUAAAUAAGAAGAAAUUAACUCAGUCAAUAGUGCAAAACAGGAUGGAUAGAAAUCCUUAUGUUCCUAGACUCAUGCUGAUUGGAGCAUUCAAUUUUGGAAAUCCUUUUGUCCUGUGCAACAACAACAACUUCCAGAAUGCAUUUCUUGGGAUACCUAAAGCAACUUGAUCAUUGGGCGUAAUUUUCCGAGUAUCUCAUUUACAAUAGCCUUCUGUGAUGUCUUUAAACAUCUAAGUAGCAAGUCCUUCAUACAACGAUAGAAGCACCUGCGCUAUUUUAGAACAGCGGCCACAUCACUCUGGUUUCUCUUCUGGUUGCUUGAUACGUGAAUGGUAGCAUUUCUUCCACCACUUGCGUCGGAAAUUUCUGUGCACUAGUGAUUGGCCAUAUCUGCUUGGUAACAGAGAGGGUUAACUAUUUGCAGAAGUUGCGGCCAUCCAAAUGUAGAGUAUCUGGAAACCAACAUAAUGGAGAUAAGUUUUUUACAGAUUUCCUUUGUGUCUGGCAACGUCUAUCCACAUGUUAAUCUGCAUUGGAUUUCUGUUUGACUGUUUUUGUUAGAUAUUUUGUAGAAUAAGAUUGAAAGCAUAUAUAAUCAUUGAUGCAGUUCUACUUUUUUUGCUAUUUCACAGGGUUUUGCUCACUAUUAAAGUGGAGAAACUAUGUUCGGUAUUUUCGUUUUUCUUUUUUGGUUCCUUUUUGUUGUUUUACUUUUGACACAUAUCUACAGGUGCCGAGAUGUAGGGAGCAUGGAAUGUCUGCGAAGUUACUUUUGUAUUACCAUGGUCUGUGAUUAUUCAUGCAAUGAAUGUGUUUUGUUUCA